rnacentral:rRNA from 1 species
UACGAAGGGGGCUAGCGUUGCUCGGAAUCACCGGGCGUAAAGGGUGCGUAGGCGGGUCUUUAAGUCAGGGGUGAAAUCCUGGAGCUCAACUCCAGAACUGCCUUUGAUACUGAGGAUCUUGAGUUCGGGAGAGGUGAGUGGAACUGCGAGUGUAGAGGUGAAAUUCGUAGAUAUUCGCAAGAACACCAGUGGCGAAGGCGGCCCACUGGCCCGAUACUGACGCUGAGGCACGAAAGCGUGGGGAGCAAACAGG